GCAGGGACGAAAGUCGGGCUUAGUGAUCCGGUGGUACCGUAUGGAAGGGCCAUCGCUCAACGGAUAAAAGCUACCCUGGGGAUAACAGGCUUAUCUCCCCCAAGAGUCCACAUCGACGGGGAGGUUUGGCACCUCGAUGUCGGCUCAUCGCAUCCUGGGGCUGUAGUCGGUCCCAAGGGUUGGGCUGUUCGCCCAUUAAAGCGGUACGCGAGCUGGGUUCAGAACGUCGUGAGACAGUUCGGUCCCUAUCCGUCGCGGGCGUAGGAAAUUUGAGAGGACCUGUCCUUAGUACGA
rnacentral:rRNA from 1 species